rnacentral:rRNA from 1 species
AGGAUGAACGCUGGCGGCGUGCCUAAUACAUGCAAGUCGAGCGAACGGACGAGAAGCUUGCUUCUCUGAUGUUAGCGGCGGACGGGUGAGUAACACGUGGAUAACCUACCUAUAAGACUGGGAUAACUUCGGGAAACCGGAGCUAAUACCGGAUAAUAUUUUGAACCGCAUGGUUCAAAAGUGAAAGACGGUCUUGCUGUCACUUAUAGAUGGAUCCGCGCUGCAUUAGCUAGUUGGUAAGGUAACGGCUUACCAAGGCAACGAUGCAUAGCCGACCUGAGAGGGUGAUCGGCCACACUGGAACUGAGACACGGUCCAGACUCCUACGGGAGGCAGCAGUAGGGAAUCUUCCGCAAUGGGCGAAAGCCUGACGGAGCAACGCCGCG